rnacentral:rRNA from 1 species
AUUGAACGCUGGCGGCAGGCCUAACACAUGCAAGUCGAACGAGUGGCGGACGGGUGAGUAAUGUCUGGGAACCUGCCUGAUGGAGGGGGAUACCUACUGGAAACGGUAGCUAAUCCCGCCUACCAUCAGAUGUGCCCAGAUGGGAUUAGCAUGUGGGUGGGGUAACGGCUCACCAAGGCGACGAUCCCUAACUGGUCUGAGAGGAUGACCAGCCACACUGGAACGGAGAAACGGUCAAAACUCCAACGGGAGGAAGCAGUGGGGAAUAUUGGACAACGGGCGCAAGCCUGAUGAAGCAAGGCCGCGUGUAUGAAGAAGGCCUUCGGGUUGUAAAGUACUUUCAGCGGGGAGGCGUUACCCGCAGAAGAAGCACCGGCUAACUCCGUGCCAGCAGCCGCGGUAAUUC